rnacentral:rRNA from 1 species
UUAACCUCGGAUCAGGAGCCCGCUGAACUUAA